AUGACAGGGGCUUUUGCUCAUGGAGCUAUUUUUUCAUUAGGGAUUACAAUCCGGAACAGCUGGAGUACGGUAGGGGCAGAGGGAAUUUCUGGUGGAGCGGUGAAAUGCAUUGAGAUCGGAAAGAACACCAACGGCGAAAGCACUCUGCUGGGCCGACACUGACACUGAGAGACGAAAGCUAGGGGAGCAAAUGGGAUUAGAGACCCCAGUAGUCCUAGUCGUAAACGAUGGAUACUAGGUGCUGUGCGACUCGACCCGUGCAGCGUUGUAGCUAACGCGUCUUGCAUAUU
rnacentral:ncRNA from 1 species